UACGGAGGGGGCAAGCGUUAUUCGGAAUUAUUGGGCGUAAAGGGCGCGUAGGCGGCUAGAUGUGUCAAAGGUGAAAUCCCUCAGCUCAACUGAGGAACUGCCUUUGAAACUGUCUGGCUUGAGGCCGGGAGAGGGUAGCGGAAUUCCCAGUGUAGCGGUGAAAUGCGUAGAUAUUGGGAGGAACACCAGUGGCGAAGGCGGCUACCUGGACCGGUUCUGACGCUGAGGCGCGAAAGCGUGGGGAGCAAACAGG
rnacentral:rRNA from 1 species